rnacentral:rRNA from 1 species
CCCGUCAGAUGAACGCUGGCGGCAGGCCUAACACAUGCAAGUCGAGCGGCAGCGGGAAGUAGCUUGCUACUUUGCCGGCGAGCGGCGGACGGGUGAGUAAUGUCUGGGGAUCUGCCCGAUGGAGGGGGAUAACUACUGGAAACGGUAGCUAAUACCGCAUAACGUCGCAAGACCAAAGUGGGGGACCUUCGGGCCUCACACCAUCGGAUGAACCCAGAUGGGAUUAGCUAGUAGGUGGGGUAACGGCUCACCUAGGCGACGAUCCCUAGCUGGUCUGAGAGGAUGACCAGCCACACUGGAACUGAGACACGGUCCAGACUCCUACGGGAGGCAGCAGUGGGGAAUAUUGCACAAUGGGCGCAAGCCUGAUGCAGCCAUGCCGCGUGUGUGAAGAAGGCCUUCGGGUUGUAAAGCACUUUCAGCGGGGAGGAAGGAGUGAGUGUUAAUAGCACUUAUUAUUGACGUUACCCGCAGAAGAAGCACCGGCUAACUCCGUGCCAGCAGCCGCGGUAAUACGGAGGGUGCGAGCGUUAAUCGGAAUUACUGGGCGUAAAGCGUACGCAGGCGGUUUGUUAAGUCAGAUGUGAAAUCCCCGAGCUUAACUCGGGAACUGCAUUUGAAACUGGCAGGCUAGAGUCUCGUAGAGGGGGGUAGAAUUCCAGGUGUAGCGGUGAAAUGCGUAGAGAUCUGGAGGAAUACCGGUGGCGAAGGCGGCCCCCUGGACGAAGACUGACGCUCAGGUACGAAAGCGUGGGGAGCAAACAGGAUUAGAUACCCUGGUAGUCCACGCUGUAAACGAUGUCGAUUUGAAGGUUGUGGCCUUGAGCCGUGGCUUUCGGAGCUAACGCGUAAAUCGACCGCCU